rnacentral:rRNA from 1 species
GACGUAGGGCGCGAGCGUUGUCCGGGAUUUAUUGGGCGUAAAGAGCUCGUAGGCGGCUUGUCGCGCCGUUUCUGGAAAACCUGCAGCUCAACUGCAGGCUUCGGGUCGAUAACGGGGCAGGCUAGAGUUCGGUAGGGGGAGACUGGAAUUCCUGGUGUAGCGGUGAAAUGCGCAGAUUAUCAGGAGGAACACCCGGUGGGCGAAGGC